rnacentral:rRNA from 1 species
AUGAACGCUAGCGACAGGCUAACACAUGCAAGUCGAGGGGUAACAGGGUAGCAAUACCGCUGACGACCGGCGCACGGGUGAGUAACGCGUAUGCAACCUGCCUAUAACUGGGGAAUAGCUCCCUGAAAGGGGGAAUUAACACCGCAUAACACUAUUGAUUCGCAUGGAUUAGUAGUUAAAUGUAGCGAUACAGGUUAUAGAUGGGCAUGCGUGACAUUAGCUAGUUGGUGAGGUAACGGCUCACCAAGGCUACGAUGUCUAGGGGUUCUGAGAGGAAGGUCCCCCACACUGGUACUGAGACACGGACCAGACUCCUACGGGAGGCAGCAGUGAGGAAUAUUGGUCAAUGGGCGCAAGCCUGAACCAGCCAUGUCGCGUGCAGGAAGACUCGCCCUAUGGGUUGUAAACUGCUUUUAUAGUAGAAGAAACACAUCUACGUGUAGAUGUCUGCCAGUAUACUAUGAAUAAGCAUCGGCUAACUCCGUGCCAGCCGCUGC